GAGUCCUACUAAUUUACUGCAAAAUUAUAGCUUGAAAAUAAAAUUGCAUAAUCCUUCUAAUCAUUUGAAAAUGAAUCAAACUAUCUAAGGAGACACUACUGAUGAAACACAUCAUGGAAACUUUAAAGCUUACCUAAAUAUUCCAUGUGAAAAGUAAACCUCACAAAAUUCAACUGGAAGUCAUCCCUUCUAAAAGAUUUGGGUAAUUCAUUCAUAGGGCUAAAAUCAGCAUGAAGGAUAUUCAACAAAGAAAUUGGUCCAACUCCUAUAAAUUAUCUUUUGACAUAACACAUCACCCCUCAAAAACCACCUUAAAG
rnacentral:misc_RNA from 1 species